rnacentral:rRNA from 1 species
CGCGGCCUAUCAGCUUGUUGGUGGGGUAAUGGCCUACCAAGGCUUCGACGGGUAGCCGGCCUGAGAGGGUGACCGGCCACACUGGGACUGAGACACGGCCCAGACUCCUACGGGAGGCAGCAGUGGGGAAUAUUGGACAAUGGGCGGAAGCCUGAUCCAGCAACGCCGCGUGAGGGAUGACGGCCUUCGGGUUGUAAACCUCUUUCAGUACCGACGAAGCGCCCGCUGUGGGUGGUGACGGUAGGUACAGAAGAAGCACCGGCCAACUACGUGCCAGCAGCCGCGGUAAUACGUAGGGUGCGAGCGUUGUCCGGAAUUAUUGGGCGUAAAGGGCUCGUAGGCGGUUUGUCGCGUCGGGAGUGAAAACACCGGGCUUAACUCGGUGCUUGCUUUCGAUACGGGCAGACUAGAGGUAUGCAGGGGAGAACGGAAUUCCUGGUGUAGCGGUGAAAUGCGCAGAUAUCAGGAGGAACACCGGUGGCGAAGGCGGUUCUCUGGGCAUUACCUGACGCUGAGGAGCGAAAGUGUGGGGAGCGAACAGGAUUAGAUACCCUGGUAGUCCACACCGUAAACGUUGGGCGCUAGGUGUGGGGCCUAUUCCAUGGGUUCCGUGCCGCAGCUAACGCAUUAAGCGCCCCGCCUGGGGAGUACGG